GGCGGCGGCGGUCGCCACCUUGCCCCAGCCAUCUCUUCCUUGCCCGUCAACGGUGAUUGACUAGCUCUUCCUCGUCUCCAACUCUGGACCAGGGAAGCAGAUAAGAGAAGGCAAUCAGAUUUUAGUUUCUUGUAUAAGGCAGUGAAACUGACCACAACAUUGUUCUUCUAAAUGGAGGAAACUAGCGCCACCUCGCCCUCGCGAGUGGUAUGCACGACAUAUCUUCAUAGUGUACCAGCCCUCUCAGAAUCGGUCCAUGGCCUUGAAUUAAGUGAUGCCAACUCUUUUUCAGAGAUUAAUUCUGCUAUGCUUCCUUUUGAUGAAUUCUCUACGCCUAAGAAGAGACAAUGCUUUUCUCUAGAUGUAAG